AGUCGAGCGGCAGCGACAUGAUAGAAGCUUCGGUGGAAAUCAUGGGCGGCGAGCGGCGGACGGGUGAGUAAUGCCUGGGAAUAUGCCUUGAUGUGGGGGAUAACUAUUGGAAACGAUAGCUAAUACCGCAUAAUGCCUUCGGGCCAAAGAGGGGGACCUUCGGGCCUCUCGCGUCAAGAUUAGCCCAGGUGGGAUUAGCUAGUUGGUGAGGUAAAGGCUCACCAAGGCGACGAUCCCUAGCUGGUCUGAGAGGAUGAUCAGCCACACUGGAACUGAGACACGGUCCAGACUCCUACGGGAGGCAGCAGUGGGGAAUAUUGCACAAUGGGCGCAAGCCUGAUGCAGCCAUGCCGCGUGUGUGAAGAAGGCCUUCGGGUUGUAAAGCACUUUCAGCAGUGAGGAAGGCGGGUACGUUAAUAGCGUGYUCGUUUGACGUUAGCUGCAGAAGAAGCACCGGCUAACUCCGUGCCAGCAGCCGCGGUAAUACGGAGGGUGCGAGCGUUAAUCGGAAUUACUGGGCGUAAAGCGCAUGCAGGUGGUUUGUUAAGUCAGAUGUGAAAGCCCGGGGCUCAACCUCGGAACAGCAUUUGAAACUGGCAGACUAGAGUACUGUAGARGGGGGGUAGAAUUUCAGGUGUAGCGGUGAAAUGCGUAGAGAUCUGAAGGAAUACCGGGUGGCGAAGGCGGCCCCCUGGACAGAUACUGACACUCAGAUGCGAAAGCGUGGGGAGCAAAC
rnacentral:rRNA from 1 species